AUACGUAGGGGACGAGCGUUGUCCGGAAUUACUGGGCGUAAAGGGCGCGCAGGCGGUAUAUCAAGUCAGCUGUCAAAGACUGGGGCUCAACCCUGGUAUGCGGUUGAAACUGAUAUGCUGGAGUGCUGUAGAGGCAAGUGGAAUUCCCUGAGUAGCGGUGAAAUGCGUAGAUAUUGGGAAGAACACCGGUGGCGAAGGCGACUUGCUGGGCAGCAACUGACGCUGAGGCGCGAAAGCCAGGGGAGCAAACGGGAUUAGAUACCCCGGUAGUCCUGGCCGUAAACGAUGAAUGCUAGGUGUGUGUGUAGAGAUACAUGCGUGCCGGAGUUAACGCGAUAAGCAUUCCGCCUGGGGAGUACGGUCGCAAGAUUGAAACUCAAAUGAAUUGACGGGG
rnacentral:rRNA from 1 species